rnacentral:pre_miRNA from 1 species
UAACUACUCCCUCCGUCCGGAAAUACUUGUCCUAGAAAUGGUUGUAUCUAGACUUAUUUUAGUUAUAGAUACAUCCAUUUUAUCUAUUUUUAGGACAAGUAUUUUCGGACGGAGGGAGUACUAU